ensembl:lncRNA
GGGAUUCUCCAGGCAAUAACACUGGAGUGGGGUGCCAUGGCCUUCUCCGAUAGAUUAGGUUAGUACUUCUAAUUCCCAAGGAGUUAUGAAAUGGUCAAAGAAACCGAAAAGUUUGACCGAGAAAGGAGAGUUUGGUCCACACAUUUUGCCCAUUUCUGGUUGGUUCCCGAAGGAGACAUUGGGUGCCUCUUGGCAUUGGCAGGUUGGUAUAACGCCCCGACAGGUUUCUGCCAUAAGCCGUAUGAGAUAACCGUGGAACCGCAGAGCAGGGCUCCUUACUUGCUUCACACAGGGCAUGCCAUUCAUUCAUACAAGCACACCGUAGAGUUAGUAAAGCACAGCAGAAAACGUGUUCGCUAAGAGGAACAAAGAACUAAAGCUCCAAGCAUCCUUACCUUGUCCUGAAGGAUCCCAGACGAGCCCCCAAGAUGAAAGGUUGUUGUUGAAUCACGCGAAGACACCGGGAUUCUUGGCCCCCGGAGGAGAAGAAUUCAAUCCGGGGCCAGAGAUGAGGCUUGAUUGCUCAGAGCUUUUGUGUAAUAAAGUUUUAUUAAAGUAUAAAGGAGAUAGAAAAAGCUUCUGACAUAGGCAUCAGAAGGGGGCAGAAAGAGUACCCUUUGGGAUGGAUGGGAUGGGUUCCCAUAAAAAGGAGUGGUUCUCUUUAGGGCGGAGAAGAGCAUUAUCCACUGAGUGGGAAAGGCUUCUGAGCUCUGGAGAGAUGCGGAGCUGGAAGGAGGAAGGGUGGGUGGGAAGUGGUCUCUGAAGAGGAGAUCAUGCUUCCUUAAGACCUUGGAAAACACAAGGGACAAGCUAGAAGGAUGAUCUGCAGUGGAGGAGGGUAGGAGGGGACCCCACUUUGGCCACCUAGCUGAACCCUUGUGUAUGGAUUCUCAGCUUCAAUCUGCCCAGCAGCCAACCAGAGUCUCAGGAUUCCUGUGGCCAGAGAAGGACCUUUGGAAAAACUUGGGCAGCCCAUGAUGAUGAGGGCAGAAUGCAGCCAAGCUGACUGGCUCCCACCUCCCCAAGCUGAAUGUUUCUGCUGUGCUAAGAUCAGACAGGGUGCUGAGCAUGCCCUGCUCUUCCUAGAGCUCUGGGGAGUGGGAGUAUAAAUAAGAAGUGGAGAGG